rnacentral:rRNA from 1 species
GACGAACGCUGGCGGCGUGCUUAACACAUGCAAGUCGAGCGGAAAGGCCCUUUCGGGGGUACUCGAGCGGCGAACGGGUGAGUAACACGUGAGUAAUCUGCCCUGGACUCUGGGAUAGCCACCGGAAACGGUGAUUAAUACCGGAUAUGACACCUUGCUGCAUGGUGGGGUGUGGAAAGUUUUUUCGGUCCAGGAUGUGCUCGCGGCCUAUCAGCUUGUUGGUGAGGUAAUGUCUCACCAAGGCUUUGACGGGUAGCCGGCCUGAGAGGGUGACCGGUCACACUGGGACUGAGACACGGCCCAGACUCCUACGGGAGGCAGCAGUGGGGAAUAUUGGACUAAGGGCGGAAGCCUGAUCCAGCAACGCCGCGUGAGGGAUGACGGCCUUCGGGUUGUAAACCUCUUUCAGUACCGACGAAGCGUGAGUGACGGUAGGUACAGAAGAAGGACCGGCCAACUACGUGCCAGCCGCCGCUGUAACAC